rnacentral:tRNA from 1 species
AGGGGUGUAGCUCAGUGGUAGAGCAGCGGUCUCCAAAACCGCGUGUCGGGGGUUCGAUCCCCUCCACCCCUGCCA